AAAGAGGCGAUUCUGCCCGUGACAACAAGAAACUUGUGAUUAUGCCUAGAGAAUGAAGAAGGGACAUAUCACAGUUUACUUGCUGUCGCAGGCGGUGUCAUCUG
rnacentral:pre_miRNA from 14 species